rnacentral:lncRNA from 1 species
CAAGAUCAUUGCAUUCAUCUCUCUCAUCUUACAGGCAACCAAGCAGAAGCCAAGUGAGGUACUGCACAAGGAGCCAGUGAGUAUCCUGUUCUUGUAUCCACGGCGUCUUGUGCUGCACCCAGAGCCCACAGCCUUACUAUUCCAUCCUCUUGGAUGUCUUCAGCAGGCAGCUGAGAAAGAUCAGAGAGAGGUGGGGCACCUGCUUCUCUCCUGGUUGUUCAGAAGCCAGAAGGACCUUCGUUACCUGGACCUUUUCUAGUCUCUUCCUCAUCACCUGUCUUUCCAUCCCCACAAAAAUGUUUCAUUAUUUUGGAAAAAAUAAGUUAGUAAUCCUGUCUUGGUCAGCAGCAGAGAGGGGAGGGAAAUGCAUAUGGAAAUCAAAUUAGCACAUCCUAUGUUAUUGUUUCUAUUAGGUGUUUCUACUGGUUUGGAUCAUUGGGAUUGGAUUAUGUCUAAGUACCUUCAACCUCAGGGAUGCAGGCAGAGGUGGUUUGACUAGCUGGAGUAGGGCUGGUGUUGAGAAAGAAUCCACCUUCAGGAGAUGGGGGAGAGGGAUAAAUUAGAAGAAUGGGAUUAAUAGAUAUAAACCACUAUACAUAAAAUAGAUAAGCAACAAGGAUUCAUUGUAUAGCACAGGGAGCUAUAUUCAUUAUUCUGUAACAACCUAUAAUGGAAAGUAAUCUGAAAAAAAAAAAAUAACUGAAUCACUUUGCUGUACACCUGAAACUAACAUAAUAGUGUAACACAACUAUACAUAAAAAACAAACAGACAAACCUGCUUUUGGGUGGAAGCCAGGGAGCUCAAUCCAAUCAGUGCUCAAUUUUGCAAAG